rnacentral:hammerhead_ribozyme from 1 species
UUCCCUCUGAUGAGCUGACAGGCGAAACGCGCGUCAGGGAG